rnacentral:rRNA from 1 species
GAUGAACGCUAGCGGCAGGCCUAACACAUGCAAGCCGAGGGGUGACAUAGAAAAGCUUGCUUUUCUGAUGACGACCGGCGCACGGGUGCGUAACGCGUAUACAACCUACCUUUUAGCGGGGAAUAGCCCAGGGAAACUUGGAUUAAUGCCCCAUAGUAUAUGGACUUCUCCUGAAGUUUAUAUUAAACAUUUAUGGCUAUUAGAUGGGUAUGCGUCCUAUUAGUUAGUUGGUAAGGCAACGGCUUACCAAGGCAGCGAUAGGUAGGGGUCCUGAGAGGGAGAUCCCCACACUGGUACUGAGACACGGACCAGACUCCUACGGGAGGCAGCAGUGAGGAAUAUUGGACAAUGGGCGAGAGCCUGAUCCAGCCAUGCCGCGUGCAGGAAGACUGCCCUAUGGGUUGUAAACUGCUUUUACAGAGGAAGAACCACCCCCACGUGUGGGGGUUUGACGGUACUCUGCGAAUAAGGAUAGGCUAACUCCGUG